rnacentral:rRNA from 1 species
UACGUAGGGUGCAAGCGUUAAUCGGAAUUACUGGGCGUAAAGCGUGCGCAGGCGGUUUUGUAAGUCUGUCGUGAAAGCCCCGGGCUCAACCUGGGAAUUGCGAUGGAGACUGCAAGGCUUGAAUCUGGCAGAGGGGGGUAGAAUUCCACGUGUAGCAGUGAAAUGCGUAGUGAUGUGGAGGAACACCGAUGGCGAAGGCAGCCCCCUGGGUCAAGAUUGACGCUCAUGCACGAAAGCGUGGGGAGCAAACAGG